UCCAUUGUCUUGGAGCAGGGCCACCCUCACACAGGAAGCUGUGUGUAUCACUGCUCACUGCAGGCAGAAACUCUGCAAAGGCCUUCCUAUGACUGAUAAAUGGUGUUUGGUUUGGAUCGGGAGGAAAAAUAAGGUGCUCGGGAUAACAGGGAGCCGGUGGGAAAACAUUCGGAACUCCAGAAUGAGAGCAAAAGAAGAGACCGCUUUGAAGGUUCCAUGAGGUGGUUAACUAACAAGGAACAAUGAGGGCAGCCCAGGCAGGGGCUUCCUUCCACCCAGCUGCAGUCAAAGCCACCGGUGGCCAGGGAGCUGGCAGGAACCCUGUUAUGGCUGGGGAGAACAAACAGGCUUGGUCAAGGAAGCCAAGCCCCCUUCAAAGAACUAAGCUCCAACCCCAACCCCCACGGCUUCAGGAGUGUUUGCUGUCAAGGUCUAGGCUCACAGAAGACAAUGAGGCUGGAUUUUCUGUGACGAGCAGAGACAAAAUCUGAACAGUUUGGUGAGAGAAGGGACUGUGAUUGAAGGUAUAAGAAAAGGACUGUGCCAGUUUGGGUCUCUGAUCCAGGGACCAGGGCUACCAGAUCCUGCAGUUGGGAAGUUGUCCGGCUGUACCAGCACCUUGUGUACCCACCGGGCCCCUGGGGCUGUAGUAGGCAGCUGUUGGCAUUAGCAAACAGAGUUAUCUGCAGAGGAAAUAAUCAGAGAUCCUUCUCCCAUACCCAGAGAAUGCCUAAAACCACAGAUGGUAUUGAAUUGUAUUAAAAUUGUGUGUUUCCUGUACACAUAUACUUAUGUUAAAGUUUCACCAUAGUAAUAAAGUGCUCAAUCAAAGCAA
rnacentral:lncRNA from 1 species